rnacentral:rRNA from 1 species
UACGUAGGGUGCGAGCGUUGUCCGGAAUUAUUGGGCGUAAAGGGCUCGUAGGCGGUUUGCCGCGUCGGGAGUGAAAACCCAGGGCUUAACCCUGGGCUGGCUUCCGAUACGGGCAGACUGGAGGUAUGCAGGGGAGAACGGAAUUCCUGGUGUAGCGGUGAAAUGCGCAGAUAUCAGGAGGAACACCGGUGGCGAAGGCGGUUCUCUGGGCAUGACCUGACGCUGAGGAGCGAAAGUGUGGGGAGCGAACAGG